GUGAUACGCUGCGAUAAGCUUCGGGGAGUUGCACGUAAACGUUGAUACGAAGAUCUCCGAAUGACGAAAGUCACUUAGAGUAAUGUCUAAGUAUCAUUAAGUGAAUACAUAGCUUAAUGAGGGGAACUCAGGGAACUGAAACAUCUAAGUACCUGAAGGAAGAGAAAGAAAGUCGAUUCCGUAAGUAGCGGCGAGCGAACGCGGAUUAGCCCAAACCAAUAAAGUUUUCUUUAUUGGGGUUGCGGACAUAUCAUAACGAAGAGGUAUCGUAAUUGAAGAGGUUUGGAAAGACCCACCACAGAAGGUAAUAGUCCUGUAUGUUAAACGAGAAGACUUUAGAUAUGAUCCAGAGUACCACGGGACACGUGAAACCCUGUGGGAAGCAGGAGGGACCACCCUCCAAGGCUAAAUACUACCUAGUGACCGAUAGCGUAUAGUACCGUGAGGGAAAGGUGAAAAGAACCCCGGGAGGGGAGUGAAAUAGAACCUGAAACCCUGCACUUACAAGCUGUGGAAGCACAUUUCUUGUGUGACCGCGUACUUUUUGUAGAACGGGCCAACGAGUUACGUUAAGUAGCAAGGUUAAGCACUUAAGGUGCGGAGCCGUAGCGAAAGCGAGUUUUAACUGAGCGUUCAGUUACUUGACGUAGACCCGAAACCGGGCGACCUACCCAUGAGCAGGAUGAAGCGAAAGUAAAAUUUCGUG
rnacentral:rRNA from 1 species